rnacentral:lncRNA from 1 species
AGUGGGCCAAAAAAUCUGUAAGGACCAAAAUGAAAAAAUUGAUAUACUUCACGAACUAAAGUGUGAAUUAAGCCUUAUAUUAAACAUCAUCUAAAUUACUUUAUUUUUUAAUUUUUAACAUUGUGUUUAAAAUGAACAUUUUUAAUUUUCUAUCGUAAAUUUUAACAAUAAUAUUAAACACUUAAAAUUAUAAAUCACAUUUUUUUUUCAAACAAAAUUUUUUAAAAUCAUUUUCAAACCAUAACAAUUAUACUAAACUAUGA